AUUGAACGCUGGCGGCAGGCCUAACACAUGCAAGUCGAACGGCAGCACAGAAGAGCUUGCUCUUUGGGUGGCGAGUGGCGGACGGGUGAGUAAUGUCUGGGAAACUGCCCGAUGGAGGGGGAUAACUACUGGAAACGGUAGCUAAUACCGCAUAACGUCGCGAGACCAAAGUGGGGGACCUUCGGGCCUCACACCAUCGGAUGUGCCCAGAUGGGAUUAGCUAGUAGGUGGGGUAAUGGCUCACCUAGGCGACGAUCCCUAGCUGGUCUGAGAGGAUGACCAGCCACCCUGGAACUGAGACACGGUCCAGACUCCUACGGGAGGCAGCAGUGGGGAAUAUUGCACAAUGGGCGCAAGCCUGAUGCAGCCAUGCCGCGUGUAUGAAGAAGGCCUUCGGGUUGUAAAGUACUUUCAGCGGGGAGGAAGGCGGUGAGGUUAAUAACCUCGCCGAUUGACGUUACCCGCAGAAGAAGCACCGGCUAACUCCGUGCCAGCCGCCGCUGUAA
rnacentral:rRNA from 1 species